rnacentral:rRNA from 1 species
GACGAACGCUGGCGGCGUGCUUAACACAUGCAAGUCGAGCGGUAAGGCCCUUUCGGGGGUACACGAGCGGCGAACGGGUGAGUAACACGUGGGUGACCUGCCCUCAGCUCUGGGAUAAGCCUGGGAAACUGGGUCUAAUACCGGAUAUGACUCCAUGACGCAUGUUGUGGGGUGGAAAGCCUUGUGCGGCUGAGGAUGGGCCCGCGGCCUAUCAGCUUGUUGGUGGGGUGAUGGCCUACCAAGGCGACGACGGGUAGCCGGCCUGAGAGGGCGACCGGCCACACUGGGACUGAGACACGGCCCAGACUCCUACGGGAGGCAGCAGUGGGGAAUCUUGCGCAAUGGGCGAAAGCCUGACGCAGCGACG